UUAAAAUAGUUUAAGUAAAAAUAUUGAUUUGUGGAAUCAAAGAUUGUAUAAAUUUUAAUUU
rnacentral:tRNA from 1 species